rnacentral:tRNA from 1 species
CUUUAGCUCAGUCGGCAGAGCGGCGGACCCUUAAUCCGAAGGCCGUGGGUUCAAACCCCUCAGG